rfam:Penicillium griseofulvum strain PG3 contig_79, whole genome shotgun sequence.
GGGCCUGUGGUUUAGGGGUAUAAUACCCGCUUCGCACUACAGUGACUUGCGGGGGGUCCCGGGUUCAAUUCCCGGCGGGUCCA